AAUUGCUUACACCAAGUCCAGUCUCUCUCCCUUCCUCCCUCCCUCAGUCCCUCCUAAUUUUCAUUUGGUAAAUUGUACCUGUUGUAUGAACGAUCUAUGCAGAAAGGUGAUGCUAUGUGCAAAAUGAAAAGUAUUGUUGCUUCCUUUUGUUCAAGAAUGCAAAACAAGCAUGAUCUAAGCAAGACAUAGUUAUUUUGAUACUUUUCUGUCAUGAAUUCCAAUAGCUUCUGGUUCAGUUCAUCAAACAAUAAAUAAUUUGUUCCUACCUAAUCCUAAUGUACUCCGAUGGCACCAUGAGAGAAAAGUCAUGAAUAAUUUCUUCAAAACCAGUUACCCAUGCAGCGUUGCAUACCCCUAAUGGAUCUUUAGGUAACUGAUCAGUGGCCACUGAGUUUCCUUGUCAUGCACAGUACAGAUGAUAUGAGAAGUCCAUUUUAGUUAUAUAUAUAUAUCUCUUUGAAACAACAUUGCUGGAAGGAAAUUCUGUUUUUUUUCCUACAAGCUGCUCAUUUACAAUGUCGAUGAGUUGAUUAUGUAUGCACCAGAAGCUUGCCACUCCAUAGUCCAAUUUAGUCACCCUCAGGGUCUUUAUAUCAGAUUGAAGGAGAAACAAAAUUCAGUCCAUGGAUUUUUGUGGUCUCCAUAAUGCCCUUGCCUGUUCAGGUUCACUUGGUGUUUUAAUUGGGUGUGCAGGGGAAACAUCUUUGAGAUGCUGAACAACUGGCCACAUUGGAGCACUCAAGUUAUCGUUCUACAGAUCUAACAUACUAUUGUGCCAUGAACUAAAACUCUGAACUUCUGUUUCUUGAAAUAUUGGGCUUCCAUUUCUUGUUGGUUGCAAAUUCUUGUUGGUUCACGUACAACUGUGCACAUAUGUUCAAGCUUUACUCUAUCCAGUAGAAUGAGCAGUGGUUGUUUGUGCAGAGUUUAGGCAUCUUCUGUUACUCACUUGAUCUCACUUUAUAAUGUGUCUAUUUCAAUCAGUAGAUGCAUGAAGGAAAGUAAUAUUUGGGAAAAAUUCCUCACAUGCCAUUGCUUGGUUAAACCCUAAAUCCCUUAUAUUUCUUGUGAACUGGUAGGCAAAACAUGCUGAACUCAAGGAUACUGAUAUCAUUUGCCUUUUGUUGUGUAGGUAUCAUGCCAACAGAAUGCUUAGCUUUUACGCACCAGGGUUAGUGUUCUUCAAGCCUGCAUUUUGGAUGCAUGUUCUUGUUAGUAUGCUCAAAAAUUUCAUUUUCAACUAUCGAAACGCAAACAACCAAUUUAUACCAUGUCGCACCUCUUUAUAGCUUGAAUGUUGAGGAGUGUUCUACUUCUAUCACACCACAAACUGUUCAGAAGAUGGCAGAUGCACUGCAUGAAGGGUCGGUCCUUUCACAUCUCUCAUUAGGAAAGAUCAAUCUGAUAUGUGGCAAUGCAAUGCUAACCUUCUAUCCAAACUUGCCUCUCUGACAAGGUUAGCAUAAGUUUUCUCCAUAUUUAUUGAUAGAUACCAACAUGUAGCGAAAUAAUAGAUCAAUUAUAACAUUAAGUCAUGCAGGUUUUCAGAACUAACUGACUGGUAUAAAACUAAAUAAGUUAACGGUUGAUAAGUUGUGCCUGCUUGCACAAUCCUUGCGCUUAUCUGGACUUCUGCUAGGUGGAACUUCCAUUGGACUGCUAAAUUUUCUGCCCAUCUUUUUUUAAAUUUUUUGAAGGCUUUGCUUGCCAUUUACGGUUAAUAUUUGCAGGCUGUGCGCAAAAAUUUUAUCUUAUCUGUGCUACUCUUAUGCAUGUUGGGACAAUUAGCCUUACUGACGCAUUAUUUUGUAUAUCUCAAGAUUUGCUGAGGCUGGAGUUGUCUAACUGUGGCCUUACAGCACCUGAUUUUGCACAAAUCUGUAUAAAUCUCUCUCGUAUCAAUACUCUUGACUUAAACUUUGGAGGAAAUUCAAUUUUUAUACAGAAAUCCG